CACCCUGCUCCUCAACUGCUAUACCAAGCUCAAGGACAGCUCGAAGCUGGAGGAGUUCAUCAAGAAAAAGAGUGAGAGUGAAGUCCACUUUGAUGUGGAGACAGCCAUCAAGGUCCUCCGGCAGGCUGGCUACUACUCCCAUGCCCUGUAUCUGGCGGAGAACCAUGCACAUCAUGAGUGGUACCUGAAGAUCCAGCUAGAAGACAUUAAGAAUUAUCAGGAAGCCCUUCGAUACAUCGGCAAGCUGCCUUUUGAGCAGGCAGAGAGCAACAUGAAGCGCUACGGCAAGAUCCUCAUGCACCACAUACCAGAGCAGACAACUCAGUUGCUGAAGGGACUUUGUACUGAUUAUCGGCCCAGCCUCGAAGGCCGCAGCGAUAGGGAGGCCCCAGGCUGCAGGCCUCCUUUUUCCUCUCUUGCCAUCCUAGGCCAACUCUGAGGAGUUCAUCCCCAUCUUUGCCAAUAACCCGCGAGAGCUGAAAGCCUUCCUAGAGCACAUGAGUGAAGUGCAGCCAGACUCACCCCAGGGGAUCUACGACACACUCCUUGAGCUGCGACUGCAGAACUGGGCCCACGAGAAGGAUC
rnacentral:misc_RNA from 1 species